rnacentral:lncRNA from 1 species
CUUUUUUUGCUCCCUUUUCUCCCUUGAUCCUUCAUGAGCCCGCUUAGGUCUCUUCCAAACGAAUUUUCCUUUCUUUCCUAUUCUAAAGCCUUUUAAAAUAAACUCCUCUUCCUGUUCUGGAACUUGCCCCGGUCUCGGUCUCUUUUUCUGCUUUAUGCCCCUCAGUCGAAUUCUUUCUUCUGAGCAGGCAAAGGCUGAAUUUGCUCCAGACACCUAUGGAUUUGCCGUCGUCUCCUGCCUCUAAAAUUACGCUCCACAAGACAAACUCAUCCACUCCUCCGUCUUCUCAUCCCCAAGGCCUAAGACAUCUCUGACCUUAUCUCCAAAUACAGUCACCUUCCAAGAUACUGAGGAUUAAGACAUCAACAUAUGGAUUUAAGGGGACACAAUUCAACCCCUUGCAAAGAGCUACAGAUAUCUUUAUUCUACUACUCAUAAAAUGUCUUAGGAAUACAAUAGCCAUUAGAACAUUAACUGGUUGCAAAAGGUUGAAUUGCUGAAGAAACCAGCUGUUUUUCAGAAAGAGAAAAAGCUUUCAUGCAGCAUUCUUCAUUUAGAAUACAUUGUUAUGCAGGUAUAUACAGCAAGUUAGUGUGUACAUUGAGAAAGACCCAGCAUAAAGUCACAGAGGACUCUGGUGCCAAAUCAUCUGAGUAUUUAUUUGAAUACUGGCUCUGUUUCUGACCAGCUGUGUGACUUUCCCAGCUUGGUGGAAUCUCCCUCUGUCAACCAGGCUGGAGUGCAUUGGCUUGAUGUCAGAUCUUGGAUCACCGCAGCCUCCGUCUCCUGGGUUCAAGUGAUUCUCCCGCCUCAGCCUCUCGAGCAGCUGGGACUACAGGAAGGCACCACCAUGCCUGGCUAAUUAUAAGUCUUUUGACUCACUCUUGUUCGUCCUACUUUCUUUUGCUUUUAUAUUCCAGUCAAACCAAAUUUCUCAUGGCUUUACGCAACUUUGACUUUAUAAGUUCUGCCCUACCAGCCUCUUGGACUUACCUUCUCUAUUUUUAACUGCCUAGUUCUUAUUAAAGACUGAAGUAAAGCACCUGC